UACGUAGGGUGCAAGCGUUGUCCGGAAUUAUUGGGCGUAAAGAGCUCGUAGGCGGUUUGUCGCGUCGAAUGUGAAAACCCGGGGCUCAACCCCGGGCCUGCAGCCGAUACGGGCGGACUAGAGUUCGGCAGGGGAGACUGGAAUUCCUGGUGUAGCGGUGAAAUGCGCAGAUAUCAGGAGGAACACCGGUGGCGAAGGCGGGUCUCUGGGCCGAUACUGACGCUGAGGAGCGAAAGCGUGGGGAGCGAACAGG
rnacentral:rRNA from 1 species